rnacentral:rRNA from 1 species
GCAAGUCGAGCGGUAGAGAGAGCUUGCUUCUCUUGAGAGCGGCGGACGGGUGAGUAAUGCCUAGGAAUCUGCCUGGUAGUGGGGGAUAACGUUCGGAAACGGACGCUAAUACCGCAUACGUCCUACGGGAGAAAGCAGGGGACCUUCGGGCCUUGCGCUAUCAGAUGAGCCUAGGUCGGAUUAGCUAGUUGGUGGGGUAAUGGCUCACCAAGGCGACGAUCCGUAACUGGUCUGAGAGGAUGAUCAGUCACACUGGAACUGAGACACGGUCCAGACUCCUACGGGAGGCAGCAGUGGGGAAUAUUGGACAAUGGGCGAAAGCCUGAUCCAGCCAUGCCGCGUGUGUGAAGAAGGUCUUCGGAUUGUAAAGCACUUUAAGUUGGGAGGAAGGGCAGUAAAUUAAUACUUUGCUGUUUUGACGUUACCGACAGAAUAAGCACCGGCUAACUCUGUGCCAGCAGCCGCGGUAAUACAGAGGGUGCAAGCGUUAAUCGGAAUUACUGGGCGUAAAGCGCGCGUAGGUGGUUAGUUAAGUUGGAUGUGAAAUCCCCGGGCUCAACCUGGGAACUGCAUUCAAAACUGACUGACUAGAGUAUGGUAGAGGGUGGUGGAAUUUCCUGUGUAGCGGUGAAAUGCGUAGAUAUAGGAAGGAACACCAGUGGCGAAAGCGACCACCUGGACUGAUACUGACACUGAGGUG